rnacentral:rRNA from 1 species
CCUACGGGAGGCAGCAGUGAGGAAUAUUGGUCAAUGGACGCAAGUCUGAACCAGCCAUGCCGCGUGCAGGAAGACGGCUCUAUGAGUUGUAAACUGCUUUUGUACGAGGGUAAACGCAGAUACGCGUAUCUGUCUGAAAGUAUCGUACGAAUAAGGAUCGGCUAACUCCGUGCCAGCAGCCGCGGUAAUACGGAGGAUUCAAGCGUUAUCCGGAUUUAUUGGGUUUAAAGGGUGCGUAGGCGGUCGGAAAAGUUAGAGGUGAAAUCCCGAGGCUCAACUUCGGAAUUGCCUCUGAUACUGUGCGGCUAGAGAGUAGUUGCGGGAGGCGGAAUGUAUGGUGUAGCGGUGAAAUGCGUAGAUAUCAGGAGGAACACCGGUGGCGAAGGCGGCCUGCUGGACUGCGACUGACGUUGAGGCCCGAAAGCGUGGGGAGCAAACAGGAUUAGAUACCCGGGUAGUC